rnacentral:rRNA from 1 species
UAGGUAACCUACCUAUAAGACUGGGAUAACUUCGGGAAACCGGAGCUAAUACCGGAUAAUAUUUCGAACCGCAUGGUUCGAUAGUGAAAGAUGGCUUUGCUAUCACUUAUAGAUGGACCUGCGCCGUAUUAGCUAGUUGGUAAGGUAACGGCUUACCAAGGCAACGAUACGUAGCCGACCUGAGAGGGUGAUCGGCCACACUGGAACUGAGACACGGUCCAGACUCCUACGGGAGGCAGCAGUAGGGAAUCUUCCGCAAUGGGCGAAAGCCUGACGGAGCAACGCCGCGUGAGUGAUGAAGGUCUUCGGAUCGUAAAACUCUGUUAUUAGGGAAGAACAAACGUGUAAGUAACUGUGCACGGUCUUGACGGUACCUAAUCAGAAAGCCACGGCUAACUACGUGCCAGCCAGCCGCGGUAAUACGUAGGUGGCAAGCGUUAUCCGGAAUUAUUGGGCGUAAAGCGCGCGUAGGCGGUUUUUUAAGUCUGAUGUGAAAGCCCACGGCUCAACCGUGGAGGGUCAUUGGAAACUGGAAAACUUGAGUGCAGAAGAGGAAAGUGGAAUUCCAUGUGUAGCGGUGAAAUGCGCAGAGAUAUGGAGGAACACCAGUGGCGAAGGCGACUUUCUGGUCUGUAACUGACGCUGAAUGUGCGAAAAGCGUGGGGAUCAAAACAGGGAUUAGAUACCCCUGGGUAGUCCCACGCCGUAAAACGAUGAGUGCUAAGUGUUAGGGGGGUUUUCCCGCCCCUUAGUGCUGCAGCUAACGCAUUUAAAGCACUCCCGCCUGGGGAGUACGACCGCAAGGUUGAAACUCAAAGGAAUUUGACGGGGACCCGCACAAGCGGUGGAGCAUGUGGUUUAAUUCGAAGCAACGCGAAGAACCCUUUACCCAAAUUCCUUUGGACAUCCUUUUGACCCUUCUAGAGAUAGAAGUUUCCCCUUCGGGGGACAAAGUGACAGGUGGUGCAUGGUUGUCGUCAGCUCGUGUCGUGAGAUGUUGGGUUAAGUCCCGCAACGAGCGCAACCCUUAAGCUUAGUUGCCAUCAUUAAGUUGGGCACUCUAAGUUGACUGCCGGUGACAAACCGGAGGAAGGUGGGGAUGACGUCAAAUCAUCAUGCCCCUUAUGAUUUGGGCUACACACGUGCUACAAUGGACAAUACAAAGGGCAGCGAAACCGCGAGGUCAAGCAAAUCCCAUAAAGUUGUUCUCAGUUCGGAUUGUAGUCUGCAACUCGACUACAUGAAGCUGGAAUCGCUAGUAAUCGUAGAUUAGCAUGCUACGGUGAAUACGUUCCCGGGUCUUGUACACACC